GACGAACGCUGGCGGCGUGCUUAACACAUGCAAGUCGAACGGAAAGGCCCUGCUUUUGUGGGGUGCUCGAGUGGCGAGCGGGUGAGUAACACGUGAGUAACCUGCCCUUGACUUUGGGAUAACUUCAGGAAACUGGGGCUAAUACCGGAUAGGAGCUCCUGCUGCAUGGUGGGGGUUGGAAAGUUUCGGCGGUUGGGGAUGGACUCGCGGCUUAUCAGCUUGUUGGUGGGGUAGUGGCUUACCAAGGCUUUGACGGGUAGCCGGCCUGAGAGGGUGACCGGCCACAUUGGGACUGAGAUACGGCCCAGACUCCUACGGGAGGCAGCAGUGGGGGAUAUUGCACAAUGGGCGGAAGCCUGAUGCAGCAACGCCGCGUGCGGGAUGACGGCCUUCGGGUUGUAAACCGCUUUCGCCUGUGACGAAGCGUGAGUGACGGUAAUGGGUAAAGAAGCACCGGCUAACUACGUG
rnacentral:rRNA from 1 species